GUUAUGGCUCAGUGGUAGAGCACUUGCCUGGCAUGUGUGAGGCCCUGGGUUCAAUCCUCAGCACCACA
rnacentral:tRNA from 1 species